rnacentral:rRNA from 1 species
CUACGGAGGGUGCGAGCGUUAAUCGGAAUUACUGGGCGUAAAGGGUGCGUAGGCGGGUUGAUAAGUCGGAUGUGAAAGCCCCGGGCUUAACCUGGGAAUGGCAUUCGAUACUGUCAGGCUAGAGUAUGUCAGAGGUUGGCGGAAUUCCUGGUGUAGCGGUGAAAUGCGUAGAUAUCAGGAGGAACACCAGUGGCGAAGGCGGCUAACUGGGGCAAUACUGACGCUGAGGCACGAAAGCGUGGGGAGCAAACAGGAUUAGAAACCCCAGUAGUCC